CAAAAAAUAGUUUAGUUAAAAUACUAGUUUUGGGGACUAGUGAUAGGAUUAGGAUGUCCUUUUUUUGA
rnacentral:tRNA from 1 species